CCUGGAGGUAAAAAAACAACAAAAUUAAAACAUUUAGUAGCUUUAUUAAUUUUAAUAUGAUUUAUAUUUAGCUUACAUUAAGGCGUACAUUGAUUGAUUUUAGUCAUAGUGCAAAGAGAUAAUGUCCUCUUCUGUUCUGUCUUUCAUCUUCAAUAGUUACUAUUUGAGCAUUUGAGUAAAACUAAAAUAAUAACUCUUUAUCUAUGAUGAGGACUCAGAGCUUAUACAAACUUAAGUUGCACAUAUGUAUCAUUAAUAAUGCUUACAGCUAAUCCAAAAUUUCUCAAACAAAAUAAAUAGAUAAUUAUAUCCUUUGAAUGUCGCAUUAACUAAGCCUAGUCUAAAUUAGGAUCACUGAUAGAAAAGAGGAAAAGCCUUCCAAAUGAGGACAGAAAAGAGGACAAAAAGUACAAGUAAAUUUAAUUUAUUAGACAUAUCAGUAAAAACUAAUACUGAAAAUUUGAUCUAUUAAGUAUCUUUAUUUUGAUCAGAUCAAGAGACAUUUUCUUCAGAUUUUAUUUUUAGAAAGAUGUCUCUGAAAGACUCAAUGGAGAUUUCUUAAUCUGUUUUGUCAACUAGGCAGAUACUGUGAAUGGGACAGUUCACACUUUUUAUCAUAGGAAAAAAAGUUGAAUGUAUACGAGUCCAGAUUUACAUAUAGAGGGUUGUAAAAAAAUGUUCCAUAUCUUUCUGUACUGCAAAUGAUUUCAACCUGAAAAGUUGUUUAAAAAACUAAACAUUCACAUCUAAUUCUUUUAGGUAUAGUAUUCUUGACAGUGUAGAAUUGUAAGUGACCUUGUACAUUUAAAUCAGAAAAUAUAAAGGAGUAAAUUUAAUGCUAGAUUCAUAUGGCAUUGCAUUAAAUAACAGAGUGAGGCUAAUUUUUUUUUCUUUUAGGCUAAAGCCUGCAUGACGGAAGACAGGACCUCAAAAACGAAGACCAGAACUCCUUUUGCCAGAUGCCUGAGAUCAAACAUGUGCUGGCAGCAGGAACUAAGAACAUCUCUCUCUUUGUUGCCACGAAUAAAACUGUUUGAUAUACAUCGAAUCCCAGACAUAUUUCUCUAAUUUCACCACCACAGGCCUAGUUUGUAUGACAUCUAUAAAUGUGGAAGGCAGACAGGAAGAAGAGUUACCAUCUUCUUCAAUUCAAGUGAAUCAUGCAAUAAUCCAUGGAUACAGUAAUUGUUUCUUCCCAUGUCUAGCAUAUAUACAAGAAGGUAAUAAAUUUUUAUCAGAUGUGACUCCUGCAUAUAAACUAUGUAUACAUAUACAUAUUAAAUGAGCUAUGCAAAAUAUGUAUUUGGGUUAAACACUUUGACUUUUCCAAUGAAAAACAAAUUCAAUAAAUCAACUUGCAAAAUUUAGGUACACAUUCAUUCUUCUUAUUAUAAAGGUAAAUACUUACAAUAUCAGAAGUCCCAAUGCUCUGAAGAAAUGGAAAAAUAUGUUUAAAAUAUACAUAAAUCAUAUAUCCUAAUGUUGUUUUUUAAUAUGUUAACACAAUGACUGAAUUUUUUUUUCAUGUUAAUGGCUCAGUUGUUUUUUUAAGAGUUUUAUAAUUUUAAUAAAACUUCUUAUAAUCCCUUUUUUAUUUAAUUAUAUUUUUUUUUACAAAAUUAAAUAUUAACAUUCCUGCCAUUCUGUUGUUAUAAAUGUUUUGUUUUGAACUGAAUGAACAUCAAAGUGUACAUGUAGUUUAAUACUAAUUGCAUAAACCACUAAACUUAAGUGAUAUGAUAAUGAAAAAAUUUCCAAGCUUUUGAAAAUUAACUCUGAUUUUACAAGUAUUAAUUUAAAAAAAAAAAGAUGAUGCUUAUGUUGAAAUUAUUAUUGUGAUAUUCAAUUUGUUUCAAAAUUAAGAUUUAUAUUUUUAUUGAAUGAAUGAAAUUUAUAGGAAUAAAAUUAAAUAUCAUGAAAUAUGCCUGUUUGUAUUCCAUUGUGAAAUUUAGCAAAUAAGUGCAUUGUUAUCACACAGAAGGACAAAAGUAAUAAUAGUUUAACUCUCAAAAUAAAUACAUAACUAUUAGGUAUUCUUGGCUGCUAAAAAUCUGGGUUUCUUUAAGGCAAUGACACAUACAAAUAUACAAAGAAUUAUAAAUCAAACCAUCUACUGAAUAACACUUAAAAUUUUAGAUACUGGUACCCAAUUCACUGAAGCAAGACAUAUCAAUAAUAUUAUAACAUUCAUUAUUUUUUAUUAAGUAAGCACGCAUUGACAUGCAUUAAAUAAAAGGGACAUAAUGUAAUACAUUGUCAGUUGGGU